AGUGAACGCUGGCGGUAGGCCUAAUACAUGCAAGUCGAACGGCAGCACAGUAAGAGCUUGCUCUUACGGGUGGCGAGUGGCGGACGGGUGAGGAAUACAUCGGAAUCUACUUUUUCGUGGGGGAUAACGUAGGGAAACUUACGCUAAUACCGCAUACGACCUACGGGUGAAAGCAGGGGAUCUUCGGACCUUGCGCGAUUGAAUGAGCCGAUGUCGGAUUAGCUAGUUGGCGGGGUAAAGGUCCACCAAGGCGACGAUCCGUAGCUGGUCUGAGAGGAUGAUCAGCCACACUGGAACUGAGACACGGUCCAGACUCCUACGGGAGGCAGCAGUGGGGAAUAUUGGACAAUGGGCGCAAGCCUGAUCUAGCCAUACCGCGUGGGUGAAGAAGGCCUUCGGGUUGUAAAGCCCUUUUGUUGGGAAAGAAAAGCAGCAGGUUAAUACCCCGCUGUUCUGACGGUACCCAAAGAAUAAGCACCGGCUAACUUCGUG
rnacentral:rRNA from 1 species